CCCUUAUCCCACUAUCCCCAUAUCCCAUACCCCUAUAAUCCCCCCAUAUCCCCCAUAUCCCCCCAUAAGCCCCCAUAUCCACCCUAUAAUGCCCCAUAUCCCCUAUAAGCCCCAUAUCCCCCAUAUAACCCCAUAUCCCCCAUUAUCACCCCAUAUCCCCCCUAUCCCCCCAUAUUCCCCCCAUAUCCCCCCUAUACCCCCCAUAUCCCCUAUAUCCCCCCAUAUCCCCCCAUAUUCCCCCUAUAUCCCCCCAUAUCCCCCAUAUCCUUAUAAGCUCCCCAUAUCCCCCAUAUCCCCAUAUCCCUCCAUAUCCCCCCAUAUCCCCCCCAUAUCUCCCCCAUAUCCCCCCAUAUCCCCCCUAUAUCCCCCCAUAAUCCCCCAUAUCCCCCCCUAUAUCCCCCCAUUGCAGGUGCAGCACUUGCACUGAUUGGUUCAUUAUGCUGCUCCGCUAACGAGGAGCUCGACUAUAAAUAACCCCGGGGGCUCAUUUGCAUAAUUACAUAUUUGCAUAUUCCUCCCCCCUCCCCCUCCGGUACCAUAGCAAACCCCCCCAACCCCCUUAUCCAAUUCAGGGCUUCAUUAUGGGUUUCAUUAGCAUAAUUAGCACUAACGCUAACGAGUUAUCGGGCUUGGGGGGGGGGGGUGUUCCUGCUCGCCUAUAGGAGAUGGUUUGACCCACAGCCGGACCCACAACCGCCAACAGCCCCAAUGGGGGGGGGGCAGCGGGACCCACGGCAAGGGAUGGAGGACCAACAACAGGCGGAAGUCCUCCAACAACAGGAAGUCCUGCCAGCUAACACCGGAGGUCCUCCAUGAGAACACCCGGAGGUCCUCCAGUGCUGGAGGUCCUCUCAAGGACACGCCGGAGGUCUCCAACAACAGUCGGAAGGUCCUCCAAGUAAGGAAGUCCUCCAAGAACCCUCAAGAAGAAGAAGUCCCUCCAAGAACAGUCGGAAGUCCCCCCAUAGAACAGAGUCCCUCCAAGCAACAGGCCAAGGUCCUCCAAGAAACAGAAGUUCCUUCCAAGGAGAGUCCCAAGGUCCUGGCCAACAGACAGGCGGAAGUCGCUCCACACACCAGAAUCCUCCAAGGGCUGGAGGUCCUCCAAGGAACAGGCGAGUCCGUCCAACAAGAGGAAGUCCUCCCAUACAACAGCCAGAGAGUCCUCCAACAACUAGGCGGAAGUCCCUCCCAAGGCUGAGGUCCUCCAAGAAAAGGAAGUCCUCCAAUGACCAGGCGGAGCGCUCCUCCAAAACACCCGGAGGUCCUCCAAGCUGGAGGUUCCUCCAUAGGACACCGGAGGUCCUCCAACCACAGUGCGGGAAGUCUCUCCAAGACACAAGCCAAGGUCCUCCAAGAACAGUCGGAAGUCCUCCAAGAACAGGAAGUCCUCCAAGAACAGCCCAAGGUCCUCCAAGAACAGGAAGUCCUCAAGAACAGGAAGUCCUCCAACGUACAGCCAAGGUCGUCCAAGAACAGGAAGUCCUACCACAAGGCCAGCCAGCAACCAAAGGUCCUCCAAGCAACAGGCGGAAGUCCUCCAACAACCCCAGAAGUCUCCAAGGGCUGAGGUUCUCAAGAACAGGCGGAGUCCCUCCAACAGAGGAAAGUCCUCAACAACAGCCAGAGGUCCUCCAACAACAGUCAGAAGUCCUCCAAGGGCUGGAGGUCCUCCAAGAAAAGGAAGUCCUCCAAGAACAGGCGGAAGUCCUCCAACAACACCCAGAAGUCCUCCAAGGGCUGGAGGUCCUCCAAGGGACACCCAGAAGUCCUCAACAACAGUCGGAAGUCCUCCAGGGCUGGAGGUCCUCCAAAAGAAAAGGAAGUCCUCCAAGGACACCCGGAGGUCCUCCAACAACAGUCAGAAGUCCUCCGACGUGGCUGGAGGGUCCUAAAAGAGCUGGAGGUCCUCCAACCCCCGGAAGUCCUCCAAGAACACCUUGAGGUCCAUCCAAGAACACCGGAAGCUCCUCCAAGGCUGGAAGGUCCAACACCGCACGGGUUCUCCAACACCUGGAAGUCCUCCAAGAACACCGCGGAGGUCCUCCAAGGGCUGGAGGUCCUCCAAACAACAGGUGGAAGUCGCCGGGGUCUGGGUUGGGGUUAUAGGGUCAGAGUUAUGGGGUCAAGGUUUGGGUUAUAGGGUCAGAGUUAUGGGGUUAUAGGGUCAGAGUUAUGGGGUCAAGGUUUGGGUUAUAGGGUCUGGGGUCAGGGUUGAGGUUAGAGGGUCUGAUUUGGGAUCAUGGUCAGGGUUAUAGGGUCUGGUUUGGGGUCAGGGUUGGGGUUAUAGGUUUGGGGUUACAGGGUCUGAUUUGGGGUCAUGGUCAGGGUUAUAGGGUGGGUUAUAGGGUGGGUUAUAGGGUCAUGGGUUUACAGGGUCUGAGUUGGGGUUGUAGGGUCAUGGUUAUAGGGUCAGAGUUGGGGUCAGGGUUAUAGGGUCAAAAUUGAGGUCCCAGCCAGAGUUAUAGGGUCAGAGUCAGGGUUGUGGGGUCAUGGUUAUAGGGUCAGGGUCGUGGUUAUAGGGUCAGGGUUGUGGGGUCAUGGUUAUAGGGUCAGAGUUGGGGUUGUAGGGUCUGGUUAUAGGGUCGGGUCUGGUUAUAGGGUCGGGUCUGGUUAUAGGGUCGGGUUAUAGGGUCUGGUUAUAGGGUCGGGUUAUAGGGUCUGGUUAUAGGGUCGGGUCUGGUUAUAGGGUCGGGUUAUAGGGUCGGGUUAUAGGGUCGGGUCUGGUUAUAGGGUCGGGUUAUAGGGUCGGUUAUAGGGCCAGGCUCACAGUGACGGGUCAGGGCUGCUCUAUGAGGCCACUCCAUCCCCUCCAUGCACUGAUUCCCCCCUCCCCCUUUCACCCUCUUAUUCCAUGGGGUGGGACAAAUUUCAGUCCCAAAUAGGGGACUGAAACCCCCCCCCCCCAUCCCCACCCAAAGGUGGCUCCGAACCCGAACGGAAC
ensembl:lncRNA